rnacentral:rRNA from 1 species
GAUGAACGCUAGCGGGAGGCUUAACACAUGCAAGUCGAGGGGCAGCAUAGGGUAGCAAUACUCUGAUGGCGACCGGCAAACGGGUGAGUAACGCGUAUGCAACCUACCCUGUACAGGGGGAUAACCCGGAGAAAUUCGGACUAAUAUCCCGUAAUAAUAUCCGGAGGCAUCUUUGGAUAUUUAAAGUUCCGACGGUACGGGAUGGGCAUGCGUAACAUUAACUGGUUGGUAAGGUAACGGCUUACCAAGGCUAUGAUGUUUAGGGGUCCUGAGAGGGUGGUCCCCACACUGGUACUGAGACACGGACCAGACUCCUACGGGAGGCAGCAGUGAGGAAUAUUGGUCAAUGGGCGCAAGCCUGAACCAGCCAUCCCGCGUGCAGGAAGACGGCCCUAUGGGUUGUAAACUGCUUUUCCAGGGAGAGAAACUUACGCACGUGUUGCGUGACUGACGGUACCUGGGAAUAAGCAUCGGCUAACUCCAUG